rnacentral:rRNA from 1 species
UACGUAGGGUGCAAGCGUUGUCCGGAAUUAUUGGGCGUAAAGAGCUCGUAGGCGGUCUGUCGCGUCUGCUGUGAAAACCUAGGGCUUAACUCUGGGCGUGCAGUGGGUACGGGCAGGCUAGAGUGCGGUAGGGGAGACUGGAAUUCCUGGUGUAGCGGUGAAAUGCGCAGAUAUCAGGAGGAACACCGGUGGCGAAGGCGGGUCUCUGGGCCGUUACUGACGCUGAGGAGCGGAAGCGUAGGGAGCGAACAGG